rnacentral:rRNA from 1 species
GACGAACGCUGGCGGCGUGCUUAACACAUGCAAGUCGAACGGAAAGGCCCUGCUUGCAGGGUACUCGAGUGGCGAACGGGUGAGUAACACGUGGGUGAUCUGCCCUGCACUUCGGGAUAAGCCUGGGAAACUGGGUCUAAUACCGGAUAGGAGCCAUUUUUAGUGUGAUGGUUGGAAAGUUUUUUCGGUGUAGGAUGAGCUCGCGGCCUAUCAGCUUGUUGGUGGGGUAAUGGCCUACCAAGGCGGCGACGGGUAGCCGGCCUGAGAGGGUGGACGGCCACAUUGGGACUGAGAUACGGCCCAGACUCCUACGGGAGGCAGCAGUGGGGAAUAUUGCACAAUGGGCGCAAGCCUGAUGCAGCGACGCCGCGGGGGGGAUGACGGCCUUCGGGUUGGAAACUCCGUUCGCUAGGGACGAAGCUUUUUGUGACGGUACCUAGAUAAGAAGCACCGGCUAACUACGUG